rnacentral:lncRNA from 10 species
AGGAACUCGUUGAUUUGUCAAACUUAUGGCUACACACAGCUGGAAUGGAGACGGACUCCACUGAGGAGACUCAUACAGGACAGGAGGGAAUUUUAAGAGGAUAACCCUGAUAUUCCCUGGCCAUUGAAAUCAACUACUUGUGUCAGAAUACAAAGCUACAUGAGAUGUGGUCCUUGUCCUCAAUAAGCACACAAGUCAGGGAGUUGGAGGGGAGAUUAUGAGUAAGGAAGAGAUACAGAGG